GACGAACGCUGGCGGCGUGCCUAAUACAUGCAAGUUGAGCGCUGAAGGUUGGUACUUGUACCAACUGGAUGAGCAGCGAACGGGUGAGUAACGCGUGGGGAAUCUGCCUUUGAGCGGGGGACAACAUUUGGAAACGAAUGCUAAUACCGCAUAAAAACUUUAAACACAAGUUUUAAGUUUGAAAGAUGCAAUUGCAUCACUCAAAGAUGAUCCCGCGUUGUAUUAGCUAGUUGGUGAGGUAAAGGCUCACCAAGGCGAUGAUACAUAGCCGACCUGAGAGGGUGAUCGGCCACAUUGGGACUGAGACACGGCCCAAACUCCUACGGGAGGCAGCAGUAGGGAAUCUUCGGCAAUGGACGAAAGUCUGACCGAGCAACGCCGCGUGAGUGAAGAAGGUUUUCGGAUCGUAAAACUCUGUUGGUAGAGAAGAACGUUGGUGAGAGUGGAAAGCUCAUCAAGUGACGGUAACUACCCAGAAAGGGACGGCUAACUACGUGCCAGCAGCCGCGGUAAUACGUAGGUCCCGAGCGUUGUCCGGAUUUAUUGGGCGUAAAGCGAGCGCAGGUGGUUUAUUAAGUCUGGUGUAAAAGGCAGUGGCUCAACCAUUGUAUGCAUUGGAAACUGGUAGACUUGAGUGCAGGAGAGGAGAGUGGAAUUCCAUGUGUAGCGGUGAAAUGCGUAGAUAUAUGGAGGAACACCGGUGGCGAAAGCGGCUCUCUGGCCUGUAACUGACACUGAGGCUCGAAAGCGUGGAGAGCAAACAGGAUUAGAUACCCUGGUAGUCCACGCCGUAAACGAUGAGUGCUAGAUGUAGGGAGCUAUAAGUUCUCUGUAUCGCAGCUAACGCAAUAAGCACUCCGCCUGGGGAGUACGACCGCAAGGUUGAAACUCAAAGGAAUUGACGGGGGCCCGCACAAGCGGUGGAGCAUGUGGUUUAAUUCGAAGCAACGCGAAGAACCUUACCAGGUCUUGACAUACUCGUGCUAUUCCUAGAGAUAGGAAGUUCCUUCGGGACACGGGAUACAGGUGGUGCAUGGUUGUCGUCAGCUCGUGUCGUGAGAUGUUGGGUUAAGUCCCGCAACGAGCGCAACCCCUAUUGUUAGUUGCCAUCAUUAAGUUGGGCACUCUAACGAGACUGCCGGUGAUAAACCGGAGGAAGGUGGGGAUGACGUCAAAUCAUCAUGCCCCUUAUGACCUGGGCUACACACGUGCUACAAUGGAUGGUACAACGAGUCGCGAGACAGUGAUGUUUAGCUAAUCUCUUAAAACCAUUCUCAGUUCGGAUUGUAGGCUGCAACUCGCCUACAUGAAGUCGGAAUCGCUAGUAAUCGCGGAUCAGCACGCCGUGGUGAAUACGUUCCCGGGCCUUGUACACACCGCCCGUCACACCACGGGAGUUGGGAGUACCCGAAGUAGGUUGCCUAACCGCAAGGAGGGCGCUUCCUAAGGUAAGACCGAUGACUGGGGUG
rnacentral:rRNA from 1 species